ensembl:snRNA U1 U1 spliceosomal RNA
ACACUUACCUGACAGAGUAAAGACCAUGACCAGGCAGGUGGUUUUCCCAGGGUGAGACUUGUCCACUGCACUUGGGAUUUGUCGACCCCUGUGAGUUCCUCAAAUGUGGGAAACUCAACUGCAUAAUUUGUGUUAGUGGGGGACUACGUUCACCUUCUCCCCUG